rnacentral:rRNA from 1 species
UACGUAGGGUCCGAGCGUUGUCCGGAGUUACUGGGCGUAAAGCGCGCGCAGGCGGCUACACAAGCAUGGCGUGAAAGCCCCCGGCUCAACCGGGGAGGGUCGUCGUGGACUGUGUGGCUUGAGGGCGGGAGGGGCUGGUGGAAUUCCCGGUGUAGUGGUGAAAUGCGUAGAGAUCGGGAGGAACACCCGUGGCGAAGGCGGCCAGCUGGACCGACCCUGACGCUGAGGCGCGAAGGCGUGGGGAGCAAACAGG